rnacentral:rRNA from 1 species
UACGUAGGGUGCAAGCGUUAAUCGGAAUUACUGGGCGUAAAGCGUGCGUAGGCGGCUAUGUAAGACAGAUGUGAAAUCCCUGGGCUCAACCUAGGAACUGCAUUUGUGACUGCAUAGCUGGAGUGUGGUAGAGGGAGAUGGAAUUCCGCAUGUAGCAGUGAAAUGCGUAGAUAUGCGGAGGAACACCAAUGGCGAAGGCAAUCUCCUGGACCUGCACUGACGCUCAUGCACGAAAGCGUGGGGAGCAAACAGG